CAGGACUCGCAAGAAUCCCGAAACCACUGUGAACCUACCGAACGUUGCCUCGGCGGGCGCCCGGCCCCGCGCCGGGACCCGGCCCGCCGGCGGCCCCUUACUCUGUCUCUCAGCGUUGUAUCUCUGAGUCUCACAAAUGAGUCA
rnacentral:misc_RNA from 1 species